CCUAGACAGAGGAGACUGGUGGGCUGCAGUCCAUAGGGUGGCAAAGAGUGGGACAGACGGAAGUGACUUAGCACACCUGCACUCAGCUGCUGCAAGCAUUAUGUAUCUCUGGCCCGGAAGAAUGAUUCUGUAACUCCAGUGUCACACAAUGACACAGGAAACUAAGUCUCUCUAUAACUUCCAAAAUCACUGCAGAUGGUGACUGCAGCCAUGAAAUUAAAGGACACUUCCUUCUUGGAAGGAAAGCUAUGACAAAGCUAGAUAACAUAUUAAAAAACAGAGACAUCACUUUGCCAACAAAAAGUCUGUCUAGUCAAAGCUAUGGUUUUCCCAGUAGUCACAUAUGGAUGUGAGAGUUGGACCAUAAAGAUGGCUGAGAGCUGAAGAAUUGAUGCUUUUGAAGUAUGGUGCUGGAGAAGACUCUUGAGAGUCCCUUGGACAGCAAGGAGAUCAAUCCAGUCAACCCUAAAGGAAAUCAACCCUGAAUAUUCAUUGGAAGGACUGAUGCUGAAGCUCCAAUACUUUGACCACCUGAUGCGAAGAGACAACUCAUUGGAAAAGAUCCUGAUUCUGGGAAAGAUCAAGGACAGGAGGAGAAAGGGACAACAGAGGAUGAGAUUAUUAGAUAGCAUCACCGACUCAAUGGACUUGAGUUUGAGCAAACUCUGGGAGAUGGUGAAGGACAGGGAAGCCUGGCAAGCUGCAGUCCAUGGGGUAGAAAAGAGUCAGACAUGACUUUAGCAACUGGACAACAAUAUAACCUGCAUAUAACAGGCAAUCGUUUCUUCUCAAACAUCUUUCAAGAUUUCUGGCACAGGUUUUCUUUAUUCCUGAAGCCUGCAAGCAUUCUAUUAGGGUGUUUGAAGCUUCAAAAUAGAAUACCCAACAGAGAGUAACUUAAAGCAUAAGACAAAAUAUUGUUUACUGGAACAAGAAGUCUGGAAGUGAUGGGGAGUAAGGAGAUUGACUCUUUUCAGCAAUAUAACGAUGUCAUCAAGGACCCAG
ensembl:lncRNA